rnacentral:rRNA from 1 species
AGUGAACGCUGGCGGUAGGCCUAACACAUGCAAGUCGAACGGCAGCACAGGAGAGCUUGCUCUCUGGGUGGCGAGUGGCGGACGGGUGAGGAAUACAUCGGAAUCUACUUUUUCGUGGGGGAUAACGUAGGGAAACUUACGCUAAUACCGCAUACGACCUACGGGUGAAAGCAGGGGACCUUCGGGCCUUGCGCGAUUGAAUGAGCCGAUGUCGGAUUAGCUAGUUGGCGGGGUAAAGGCCCACCAAGGCGACGAUCCGUAGCUGGUCUGAGAGGAUGAUCAGCCACACUGGAACUGAGACACGGUCCAGACUCCUACGGGAGGCAGCAGUGGGGAAUAUUGGACAAUGGGCGCAAGUCUGAUCCAGCCAUACCGCGUGGGUGAAGAAGGCCUUCGGGUUGUAAAGCCCUUUUGUUGAGAAAGAAAUCCAGCUGGCUAAUACCCGGUUGGGAUGACGGUACCCAAAGAAUAAGCACCGGCUAACUUCGUGCCAGCCGCCGCGGUAA